UUGAUGGCGACCGGCGCACGGGUGAGUAACACGUAUCCAACCUGCCGAUGACUCGGGGAUAGCCUUUCGGAAGAAAGAUUAAUACCCGAUGGCAUAGUUCUUCCGCAUGGUAGAACUAUUAAAGAAUUUCGGUCAUCGAUGGGGAUGCGUUCCAUUAGGUUGUUGGCGGGGUAACGGCCCACCAAGCCUUCGAUGGAUAGGGGUCCUGAGAGGAAGGUCCCCCACAUUGGAACUGAGACACGGUCCAA
rnacentral:rRNA from 1 species